CAGCCGCCGCGGUAAUACGAAGGGGGCUAGCGUUGUUCGGAAUUACUGGGCGUAAAGGGCGCGUAGGCGGCCAUUCAAGUUAGAUGUGAAAGCCCUGGGCUCAACCUAGGAAUUGCAUUUGAUACUGUUUGGCUUGAGUUCGGGAGAGGUGAGUGGAAUUCCCAGUGUAGAGGUGAAAUUCGUAGAUAUUGGGAAGAACACCGGUGGCGAAGGCGGCGACCUGGUCUUUUACUGACGCUGAGGCGCGAAAGCGUGGGGAGCAAACAGGAUUAGAUACCCCCGUAGUCCCUGUCUCUUAUAC
rnacentral:rRNA from 1 species